AUUCAGCUGUUGAGUCUCAAAUAGGACGAAACGCUCGUCUUGGAU
rnacentral:hammerhead_ribozyme from 1 species